rnacentral:lncRNA from 1 species
CCCAAUUUUGGGGAAAUACUACAAUUUCCUCAUUAACAAUGCUUUGUCAUUGUGUGCUUAAAUGCUCAGACCUUUAUUUUUCUCAUAGUACAUUGUUUUCAAAAUGAAUUCAUUCCAGUCUUUUAGAUUUCAAGUGAAGACAUUUUUGAGGCAUUUGAGUGCAAAUUAAGUGUCUGCAAAAUGACAGCAAAUGAGAACACUACUUCAUCCUGCUUCAAUAAAUUUAUAAAUGAGUGAAUACAAAUUUUGCCAACAUUUACAUAUACAUACCCACGCAAGCACACACAAUUGUCUUCAGUGUAAGAAUAUGUAUGAGCAAUUUCAACGCAAAGAAUAGUUUAUUCCAGAAAAUAACAAAUUCUUGAAAUGAAAAGCCCUGAACAAAAACAUUUCACCUCCAAAUAGAGGGGCUCUCUGUUCUGACCACUUAUUCAGCACCAAUCAUUUGUGUAAGUCAAAUUUCUGUAUGGGCUAUGGAUUUUCAGCAAUGGAUAUUGAAACAAUGCCACCCACUACUACCGAGCUGUAAUAUUCUGGUAGACUUUAUAAGCAGCCUCACAGAAAACUUUGAAAAAUAAUCUCUUUAGAAACAAAUCCCUUUGCAUAUGAUGUUCUCUUCUUCUUCAUAACUAAAGGCAUUUGCAUGAGAACAAGGUCUUCGUUUUAGAAGAAUCCAGCUACUCCCACUGUUUAUUCCCCACUUGAAGUCAUAAUCCCUGCUUUGUGACAUCAUGGUUGGUUACGAUGAAAAUGGCUAUUAUUGAGAAAACAGAAGGAUUAACUGCAGUCCUGCUGGCUCUGGGGCCGGGGGAAAGAAGAUGUAACUUCUAGUUGAUGUCAACCAAGUAUUGAAGAAGGCUUCUCUAACAGCAGCUGACCAACACACUCAUGGCAAUUAAGUUAUCUGAUCAGUUUUGUCCUUUUAACUCUCUUUUAAGCAAGAUCCUGUUUUCUGUAUGUAGACAGAGCUUCCUGCUGUGUGCUGUCGAAAGAAUGAGAAGACAAGAUGGAGAAUCAAUUUAAGAAAAAAAGCUUCAGUUGACAAAGCUUUGCUGUAGAUCAAUGGAGUCUAGCUAGUUAAAAUAUCUUUGGUAGCAGAGAUUUUACAAUCAUGAGCUUGGACAUAAUCAGUUUGGUUUCCCCUAUUCCAUUCAAAUAGUAUUUUGCUAGAUGAAAAUAAU